CUACGGGAGGCUCCAGUGAGGAAUAUUGCACAAUGGAGGAAACUCUGAUGCAGCAACGCCGCGUGGAGGAUGACGCAUUUCGGUGUGUAAACUCCUUUUAUAUGUCAAGAAAAUGACGGUAGCAUAUGAAUAAGCUCCGGCUAACUCCGUGCCAGCAGCCGCGGUAAUACGGAGGGAGCAAGCGUUACUCGGAAUCACUGGGCGUAAAGGACGCGUAGGCGGGAUAGAAAGUCAGGUGUGAAAUCCUAUGGCUCAACCAUAGAACUGCACUUGAAACUUCUAACCUAGAGUAUGGGAGGGGAAGAUGGAAUUAGUGGUGUAGGGGUAAAAUCUGUAGAUAUCACUAGGAAUACCAAAAGCGAAGGCGAUCUUCUGGAACAAUACUGACGCUAAGGCGUGAAAGCGUGGGGAGCAAACAGGAUUAGAUACCCCGGUAGUC
rnacentral:rRNA from 1 species